rnacentral:rRNA from 1 species
UACGAAGGGGUCUAGCGUUGUUCGGAAUUACUGGGCGUAAAGCGCACGUAGGCGGGUUUGUAAGUAGGGGGUGAAAUCCCAGAGCUCAACUCUGGAACUGCCUUCUAAACUGCAAGCCUGGAGGUCAGGAGAGGCGAGUGGAAUACCGAGUGUAGAGGUGAAAUUCGUAGAUAUUCGGUGGAACACCAGUGGCGAAGGCGACUCGCUGGACUGAUACUGACGCUGAGGUGCGAAAGCGUGGGGAGCGAACAGG